UACGUAGGGGGCUAGCGUUGUCCGGAUUUAUUGGGCGUAAAGAGCGUGUAGGCGGCCAGGUAGGUCUGCUGUGAAAACUCGAGGCUCAACCUCGAGACGUCGGCGGAAACCAUCUGGCUAGAGUCCGGAAGAGGAGAGUGGAAUUCCUGGUGUAGCGGUGAAAUGCGCAGAUAUCAGGAGGAACACCGGUGGUGUAGACGGCUUUCUGGACCGUAACUGACGCUGAGACACGAAAGCGUGGGUAGCAAACAGG
rnacentral:rRNA from 1 species